GAUGAAGAACGCAGCGAAAUGCGAUACGUAAUGUGAAUCGCAAAUUCAGUGAAUCAUCGAGUCUUUGAACGCACAUUGCGCCCCCUGGUAUUCCGGGGGGCAUGCCUGUCCGAGCGUCAUUGCUGCCCUCAAGCACGGCUUGUGUGUUGGGCCCCGUCCUCCGAUCCCGGGGGACGGGCCCGAAAGGCAGCGGCGGCACCGCGUCCGGUCCUCGAGCGUAUGGGGCUUUGUCACCCGCUCUGUAGGCCCGGCCGGCGCUUGCCGAUCAACCCAAAUUUUUUAUCCAGGUUGACCUCGGAUCAGGUAGGGAUACCCGCUGAACUUAAGCAUAUCAAUAAGCGGAGGA
rnacentral:misc_RNA from 1 species